AAGAAAAUUAGUGGUUGGAAGGAAAAACUACUAUCUGCCGGGGGGAAGGAGAUCCUGCUCAAGGCUGUGAUCCAAGCCAUACCUACCUAUGCAAUGUCGGUCUUUAAAAUUCCUAAAAAAAAUUGUGAAGGAAUCAUUGACGUGAUAACGCAUUUCUGGUGGGGAGACGAGGAGAACCAGAGGAGGAUGCACUGGAUGGCCUGGUGGAAAAUGUGUGUACCAAAAACCCAAGGAGGAAUGGGAUUCCGUGAUAUCCACUGUUUCAACCUGGCUCUGCUGGCCAAACAGGCAUGGCGUCUCCUUGAUAAUCCCGAUUCCUUGUGUGCCACUAUUCUAAGGGCCAAGUACUACCCUGAUGGCGAUUUG
rnacentral:rRNA from 1 species